ACGAGGACGACUCCGACGGGCCCGCCGACGUGAAGGAGAAGCACCUCACCGUCGCCGCUGCGUUGAGAACUCGACGACUGGUGCUUCCUCAACAGUGUCCUCCAUUGCCCAGUUCCCGGUCCUCCUCCGAUCCUUCCUUCUCCAUUUCUUCUUCCGCGCCCCAUUUCUUGUUCUCGCUAGGGAUUCUAAGAAACCGUUGGGAUUUUCCUAUCAGGCAUUUACCUCGCUUUGCGAUUGAGGAGACCGAGCGCCUCCGACCAACCAUCUCUCGGCCUCGACGCCCUGGCCGAUCGACGCCGGCCACAACGCGAUUCCCCAGCGUUCAAGAAAGUUAGUCCAGCCGUUACCCAGGCCGGCAUGUCGGCCCAUUUGCCAUCGUAAAAGCCCAGUAGAGAGGAGACGCUCUCCCAUCCACUUGCGUCGGCUCUCAUCCUACCUCGACCGGGUCGGAUUCCAUCAGGAUCCAUUACAUUAUUGGAUUCGAGUACGUAAUGCUUCUCUCAUCAUCAUUUCUAAUCUCACCUACCGGCUUCCAUUUAAAGAAGCCACGUGGGCUUGAUUUAAGGUGAAUACAGAUCACGUGAUGAUAAAUAUUAACGAUGUGUGUAGGGUUUGCACAUUGUUCACGUGUAAAGUAAAAUAGGUGUAGAACUAGUAUUAAAUUAUUUUUUAUGUGCAUUAGCAUAUGUUUUUUUAAUUAUAUAAUUCAUUUUUCAUUUCGUAUAA
rnacentral:lncRNA from 1 species